rnacentral:sRNA from 1 species
UGUAAUAACUUUGAAGGGAAGAUGAGUGGACAAUGUUAAACUAAUUCUAUUUUUUACAAAAGAGUAUAUACAUGUACUUGUAAAAUUGGAUUAGUCUGCUCAUUUAUCAUAUUUCGAAGAACCUAAUACGAAAAAAUAGGUUUAUUUGUCAUGAAUAAAUAUAUUGAAUCGACUAAUCCUUCCAAAUUAAUGGGGGGAUUUUUUG